AACGAACGCUGGCGGCAUGCCUAACACAUGCAAGUCGAACGAGACCUUCGGGUCUAGUGGCGCACGGGUGCGUAACGCGUGGGAACCUGCCCUUAGGUUCGGAAUAACUCCCCGAAAGGGGUGCUAAUACCGGAUAAUGUCUUCGGACCAAAGAUUUAUCGCCUUUGGAUGGGCCCGCGUUGGAUUAGCUAGUUGGUAGGGUAAAAGCCUACCAAGGCGACGAUCCAUAGCUGGUCUGAGAGGAUGAUCAGCCACACUGGGACUGAGACACGGCCCAGACUCCUACGGGAGGCAGCAGUGAGGAAUAUUGGACAAUGGGCGAAAGCCUGAUCCGGCAAUGCCGCGUGAGUGAUGAAGGCCUUAGGGUUGUAAAGCUCUUUUACCCGGGAUGAUAAUGACAGUACCGGGAGAAUAAGCUCCGGCUAACUCCGUG
rnacentral:rRNA from 1 species